AAACCUAUGUCUGCAAGAGGAGCUUAUGGUGGGUGCGCCAUGGUCUGUCCAUGAUCAUGACCUGACAAGAAUAAGGGACCAAGAGGUCAUGAUUCAGGUCAAGGGUGAGUGGAAAUGCCAUGUUGUUACCCAAGUUUUCACAAUGAAACUAAAUUCAAAAUAUCAAUCUUACUGGAAAUUCAACCGUAAAUCAUCUGUGAUUGAUAUACUGUUUCUAAAGCUCUGCCUUUAAACCUCCUAGAUCCUGCAGAUCCAGUCUAGAGAAUGACUCACACUUCCUCUCCUGCUUCACGCUCCAUGGCCAUUCAAAUGUCAGACUGAUCCCAGCCAAGCAUAUUGGUCUUUCAGCAUCCAUUGUGUGUGCAUUUGCUGAACAUCAGGGGUAGAGAAAGUCUGAAGAAAAAUCCCUUCACUCAGGAGGUACGACAGAGCUGAAUCCUCACUAAUGCAACUUUAAUGAGGAGCGCCUCAGGAGAGGGAGGGUGUGUGUCCGUCUCAGCUGAUGGCUGGAUCCACACGUUGCUUUUACUUUUGCUGCGCUUUAGCUGCUCGUAGGUAGAAUAAAAGAAAAGCUCAAGACGCUACAACUCUGGAGUAAGAGAGGCAAAAACUUUGAGACC